UCUAAUAUGGCAGAUAAGUGCAAUGGAUUUAAGCCCCAUAUAUAAAGGUUCCCUUUUAUUAGAA
rnacentral:tRNA from 1 species